GGGGUUGUAGUUUAAUUUAAACAUUUGAUUUGCAUUCAAAAAUUAUUGUUUCAAUCUACCUUA
rnacentral:tRNA from 1 species